CUGAUGUAGCAGAACACUGUGCUUAAAGCACAACGAUGAAUUAUCCCACAAUUCUGGAGGCCAGAGGUCAAAGAUCAAGGUCUUAACAGGGUUGGAGUUGGCUGAGAAGAAAUCUCAGGUCCUGCGAGGUUAAGUGACUUGCUCAGAAAGGACUUCCUAAACAUCAGGAUUUCAAAACACCAGUGCGAUUAUCAGAGGGGACUGUCUUUAUGAAGACAUCAGUGGAAUAGGUUCAACUUGGAAGUUUGAGAGUCUCUGAGUGCGUGCUGAGCGGCACACCACGCUGCGCUAGAUCUCUGAUGAGCCGGCACUUGAUUCUCAGCUAAAUAUCCCUGUUGGAGGGGUGGUUUCCAAUUUUAAGUUAUUUGUAAUU